rnacentral:lncRNA from 1 species
UGGAUUAUGAAGAUUGAAGCUGAAGUUGAAUGAAUUUGAGGAGAAAGUUGAACGAGCUUGAAGCUGAUUGAAAGUGUGAGGUUGAAGACAAUGAGAUAACUGAAACUCAAUUGAACAAUUCUAAAGUUGAACGAUGCUGAAAUGAAGGAUUUUUGAGAAACUGAAUCGAAGCUUUGUUGAAACUAAGAGUUGAACGAUUCUGAAGUUGAACAAUUCUGAAGUUGAACGAUGCUGAAAUGAAGGAUUUCUGAGAAACUGAAUUGAAGAAUCGAACGAUUUGUGAAUGGAAGCCAAAUUUGUGAGUGCAAAGAAGAGGGAACAAGGAAAUUGGAGCGCGUAAUAUUCAGAUCUGACGACGACGGUUUAGAGUCAACAAUCGCAAAUUCAUAAAAAUAACAUACCGACGACGGUUUUAGUAAACCGCCCCUAUCAUUCUGUCGUUAUUUGCAAUUUUUUUUGUAGUG